rnacentral:sRNA from 1 species
AUAGGAAAUUUAAGGGCGUAUAGUGAAUGCCUUGGUUCUUGAUGGCGACGAAAGACGUGAACUGCCUGCGAUAAGCUUCGGUGAGGUGGCAAUUAACCUGUGACCCGGAGAUCUCUGAAUGGGGAAACCCAUCCGUAUUUAAAUGACGGAUAUCCAUUGUAUGAUGGAAGCAAACCUAGGGAAGUGAAACAUCUCAGUACCUAGAGGAAAAGAAAACAAAUGUUAUUUCCUGAGUAGCGGCGAGCGAAACGGAAUCUAGCCCAAACCCGAAUAAGCUCGCUGUAGUUAAUAUAGCAAUAUAUUGAAUAUAGCGAGCUGAAUCGGGGGUUGUAGGACAUUGACGUCGUAAGACAAAAAGUUACAAAAUCUUUGAAUAGGUGAAACAUCUGGAAAGGUGUGGCAUAGAGGGUGACAUCCCCGUAACCGAAAUUUGAAGAUCUUUUACAAUGUUCCUGAGUACUUCGAGACACGAAUAGCUCGGAGGAAUCUGCCGGAACUAACCGGUAAGGCUAAAUACAUCAAGAGACCGAUAGUGAACUAGUACCGUGAGGGAAAGGUGAAAAGAACCCCUGUGAGGGGAGUGAAAUAGAUCUGAAACCAUACGCCUACAAGGAGUCGGAGCGGUUGUUUACAACCGUCACGGCGUGCCUAUUGAAGAAUGAGCCAACGAGUGUAUGCAUGCGGCAGGCUAAGUGCUAUAAAAGCAUGGAGCCAUAGGGAAACCGAGUCUGAAUAGGGCGAAAUUAAUGUCGUACGCAUACGACCCGAAGCCAGGUGAGCUUACCAUGGGCAGGGUGAACCCCGUAGAAAUAUGGGGGGAGGCCCGAACCAGUUGGUCGUACGAUUCCUUUGGAUGACCUGUGGUAAGGAGUGAAAAGCUAAUCGAACCUGGUAAUAGCUGGUUCUCUCCGAAAUAUAUUUUGGUAUAGCGUUACGUGUUCCCUCUGGGGGUAGAGCACUGGCUGGUUUGGACAGGGUGAAAGCUCGCCAAACCUAUCAACCUCCGAAUACCAGAUGGUAAAUAGCAUAGCAGUCAGACAGUGGGGGCGAAGCUCCACGAGUCGAAAGGGAAACAGCCCUGGAUCUCAAGUUAAGGUCCCUAAAUCUACAUUAAGUGCACUUAAGGAGGUGAAAUUUCUCCGACAAUGAGGAGGUUGGCUUAGAAGCAGCCAUCCUUUAAAGAAAGCGUAACAGCUCACUCAUCUAGAGAAUUCGCGCCGCAAAUAAUCGGGGCUAAAAUGUAGUACCGAAGCUGAGGGUUUGUGCAUUUCAUGGAGGAUAUAAUUCCUUCAAAUAGUUUUUUCAAUUGGUUUAUUUUAUAAAAGCCGGGAAGUAGCUCAGUUGGCUAGAGCGCCGCCUUACAAAGGUGGAGGCCGCGGGUUCAAAUCCAGCCUUCUCGACUUUUAUAACCAAUUAAAUUAAUUUAUUCCAAACAUUAAGUUUGGAUCUUCCAUGAAAUGCAUAAGCGGUAGGAGAGUAUUGUACUCUGCGAUGAAGCGGAAGGCGUGAGCCACCGUGGAGCGUGUACAAGUAAGAAUGUUGGCACAAGUAACCGCAAGACAGGUGAAAUCCCUGUCCGCCGAAAGACUAAGGUUUCCGCUGCAACGACAAUCGACAGCGGGUUAGUCGGGCCUAAGGAGAUGGCGAUAGCCGCAUCCGAUGGACACAUGGUUAAUAUUCCAUGACUUUAUUGCAAGCGAUGGAGGGACGGAGAACAUAAUUCCCCACGCAUUAUUGGAUUUGACGCUCGUACUGGUAGAGAGGAUAUUUAGGAAAAUCCGGAUAUCACAUACUCUCGAAAGAGCGACGACUGGAGCCCUCGGGUUCCAGAAGGGGGAAGAAUAGUCUUCCAAGAAAAUCUUCUAGCAUUCAAUUGCAAUGAAUCCGUACCGUAAACCGACACAGGUAGUCAGGUCGAGUAGACCAAGGCGAACGAGUGAGUAAUCCUCAAGGAACUCGGCAAAAAAGCAGCCGUAACUUUGGAAUAAGGCUUGCCCAUGUUUAACUACAUGGGCCGCAGCGAAAGUAUCUCUGGCGACUGUUUAUCAAAAACACAGCUCCCUGCGAAAUCGUAAGAUGAUGUAUAGGGGGUGACACCUGACCAAUGCCAGAAGGUUAAAUAUCGGUGGUAUACAGCAUACUGUGUAUGACGAAAGUCGUACUUAGCAUGCUGUGUGCUGGCUGAUAUAAGCCCUGGUGAAUGUCGGCCGUAACUAUAACGGUCCUAAGGUAGCGAAUUACCUUGUCGGGUAAAUUCCGACGCGCACGAAUGGUGUAACGACUGGAGAACUGUCUCGAGGAUUAGCUCGGUGAAAAUACAAUACCGGUGAAGAUGCCGGUUACCUGCAGUUAGACGAAAAGACCCCGGGAGCUUUACUAUAGCUUCACAUUGGGCAUGUUGAUAUUGUGCGUAGAAUAGGUGGGAGAGGUUAUGCGUAUGGUCUUGGCUAUACGAUACUCGUCAGUGAAAUACCACUCUCAAUUUUGAUAUGUCCUAACCUGGACGAAAAAACGUUCAGAGACAGUGUGUGGUGGGUAGUUUGUUUGGGGCGAAUCCCUCCUAAAUUGUAACGGAGGGGCCUAUAAAGGUCAGCUAGGCGUGAAUGGAAACCAUGCCGAUAGUGUAAUGGCACAAGCUGGCUUGACUGCAAGACGUACAUGUCGAGCAGGUGCGAAAGCAGAGCAUAGUGAACCGACCUAACGCUUUAGAUGCGUGGGAAGAUCAACGGAUAAAAGCUACCCCGGGGAUAACAGGCUAGUAUCGCCCGAGAGUUCAUAUCGACGGCGGUGUUCGGCACCUCGAUGUCGGCUCAUCUCAUCCUGGGGCUGGAGAAGGUCCCAAGGGUUUGGCUGUUCGCCAAUUAAAAAGAUACGCGAGCUGGGUUCAGACCGUUUAGGAGUUGUCAUUAUUGUAUUUAUAUAAUCUUAAUGACUCCUAUACAGUCUGAAUCAAGUUCUGAAAUACGACACAAUCAGGUUUUUUCGUUUUAAUAAAUAAUAAAAAUAGAUAGUACCAAUCAUUGCGGCGGCAUUAUAUGGCGACAUAUAUUGCAUAUUCAACUGAUAUCGGAAAAAUCCCAAUCAUUUAUGAUGGAUAAUUCCGAGGGAAGGUUUGCAAAAACCACCCGUAGAGACUGAACGUUGAAACACUCACGAAGUGUAUGCUACAGUCCGAUCCCUUUGGUAACAAAGGUUCUGAAAAAUGUCUCAU